UGCUGUGAGGAGUUCCUGCAUACUAUGCAACCGUGCUGUUGUGUUGCGUCAGAAUCUGCUGAAGCUGUGACUGCUGAUUUUCUGCUGAUGUACCGGUGUCUUGCCUAGAUCCUGUGUUAUUUAACUAAUGUUCCUGUUCCUGAUUUGUUACCGACGUGCCUGUGUUUACUACCCAUCUUUGUUUUGUCCCUGAUGAUGUCCUGAGUCUCCUUGCUCCAAGAAGUGUUCAACAUGUUCAACAAGGUUCCAGCCAUUGAACAUUGUGACAACCCACCUGACCCAACUUGCCACCUUGAUUAGAUCAGAAAUUACUUCGUUGACCGAGGAGGAUUCAUCUGAAAUUUGAUGCUAAAAGACAUUUGAUCUUUAUCUGAUUGAACAUUUAAUUAUGAAACUAUAUCGGACAUUGAUUUUAAAAUUAUGUGCUGAGGUUUAUUCAAGAACGUGUUACAUUUACAUUGUACAUGUGCCUCUCUGUUUUGAUUAAGAUGAACACUAGACAGCCUUGCUUGCCAUUCAGAAGCCUUUGCCAUUAGUUAAAAACAUGAGUUCAAAAGAUAGUGGAACGCAGUCUUCUGUUGAUCUGUAGUGAUUGAUAGCCAAGCUUUAUUUCAUAUUGUUUAACCUUCACUUAUGAGACGCCUCUUCCUAUGGAAGUUGCAUCUGGGAGGAGGGAGUGUAACGGGACAAUUUACCAGUCUAUGUAGAAUUGCAUUAUGGGAAGGCAAGUCUCAUGGCUUGUCAAGAUGGCUCCAGUGAGUUGAUCAUUUAUUGGAAUACAUGUAAAUGUGAUUGUUGUUGAUUGUAAUUUAUGAGCCUCUGCUGAUGUUUCUCAUUCCCACAUCGCCAUUCGAACCUGUGGUGACGGUAGACGCCGAUACAGGACAUGCACAUCCGGGACAUCAUGUACAUGUACAUUACAGACCUACAUGAUCAAUGAUCAUGCAUGCCAUGUACCUGACAUGCCUGGCCCAUACGUAUUCAUCAUAACAGGUACACGCAACUUAUGACAUUUCCUAUUUUGCCACCACACAAAACCCAAUAUAUUCAAAUGCUGAUUUCUUCAAAAUAUUCAGUAAAAAUUAGUCAUGACAGACAAUAAGAAGCUUACAGAGUUACAUGUGAAUCAAAAUAUUCUGCAGAAAUCAUCCGUUUGUACAUUUUAAUUGUCUGAAUUUGGGAGGUGAAUUUUCUGUCAGGAGUCCCAGUGUACAUGUACAUCCAUUGUGAGUUUAACAUGUUAAAUUUGACUUUGACGCAAUCUGACCCAAAUCUCGUUUUCUUUCAAAUGCUCUCACAAAUUAAACUCUAGAGGGCAGCAAACACAACAAAUUGUCAGAGAAAGGUUCAGGGUGCCUUUUCUGCUUUUUUUCAAGGAGAAAAUGGUCCAGUCCGUGGUCAUCCUUCAUUCCACAACAUCCAGUAUGACGGCGAUGAUGAAAAAUUCACAGCAUCAAGUCACAAGAUGGAAUGGCUACUUCGCCUUGUCUCCUCCAACUCAUUGAUAAAUGGCUGUCUAUUCUUCCUGAUGAAUUCGAGGAUGAAGAAAAGCAGGAAAGGUCAGCCUUGUAAUCGAAUGCACCCUACCGGUAUACGCCUGCAUUGCAUUGGCACACUUUGAUGCUGGACCCCACACCUGCAUACACACCUGGCAGCUGGCAAUCAGUUAAGAGAUGACUGGACGAUGGAGACAUGCAAGUCUGGAUAUGACAUCAUGCACAUGUACAUGUAAUUGACACCUGCUAACCCUUCUGAUUUGAUAGCAAUUAGGCAGCUGUGGUGGCUUCACCCUCCACCCAUGAAAUGGAAAAAAAGAGGAUCAAGCCCCUUAUUGUCAUAAUAUCUGCUCUUGCAACAUUGAUGAAGGUCCAAGCAAGACGGUCAGAUGGUGGAAUCAAAAAAGGCCAGCAGUCUACAACUCUUAGAAGAGGAGUUUAAACAAAUAGGAAAGUCGCAGUAAGUUAACCAAAAAAGUCUGAUGGAAAUGCGCCUCGUGAUGCACUGGGCAAUCAACAGCAGCCAAACGAGCUGGUCAUGUUGAGACAAUGGGAGCUGGUCUCCUUGAACAAUGCCACUGUUGGAUCUUGUGGUGACUGGUAACCAAAGACUCCUAGGCUGUUUGGCUUUGAGGAGAGUUGACCUGUAGGAUCUUGUUACACUUGACUUUGACAAAUGAUGCAGACUGAUGUGUCUGGCGGGGUUUCUAGCUAAACUACCCUGAACAGUUAGGGUUAAUAUACUGUGCUUGUUUAAUUAUGAAAAUGGCUUUGAAAUCAUUCCUAUUAAUUGACAGA
rnacentral:lncRNA from 1 species